GACCCACUCGCGCACGGCUGCCCCACCAUCCUGUCUCUCCCUCGCACACAGACGCCCUCCUCUCCCUCCACCUCAGUGAUGCCCCUCUCCCCCGCACCCGGUGCCCCACACACCUCCUCCGAGGCCUCCUCACAAUGCCGCCGGAUCCGGCCGCCACCUCCUCCACCACAGGGAUCCGCUCCCCACCGCACGGAUCCAGCCGUCACCGUUCCUUUCCUCCACCGCACAUCUCGAGGGUCAUGGAGGUCCAACGCCCUCCCCAGAUCAAGGGGAAGCACAGUAGGAUGGAGUCUUCGAUCUAGGCAUGGAGGCCCGGAUCUGACCUUCCCCACUUGAUCUUCAUUUUCUUCGUGACCUCCCCGCUCGAUGGACAACUCACAACUGGAAAACAAUGGAUUUUUAAAGUUGAUGAGUGUGGAUUUCAAAUACAUGAAUUAAAGUGGCAUAAACAGAUUAUAGCCCAAUAGGAGAAAAACAGACGAGGCCAAAAAAAUUCUAGAUAUGCAAAACCAAGAGGAGAAAAUUUGGUUGGCGCCAAGGACGACGGGCGUGCUAAAGUUUAUCACUUAUGCAACAUGUCUCAAAGAGCCUUUCUAUGCGUAUGACUAUGAUUCGAUGCAGACUUGUGUCUAAUUUGGCAUUCCUUGUUUAUCUUUCAGUUCAUCAUUUGGCGAUCAACUCUUUGUUGAAUUGUACUGUAAUGUAUGAUUGGUGAUCAACUCUUCCAAGCGAAAGGCUUCAGGCAUCACUCACUUAGGUGUAAAGAGGUGCCUCCUGAUGAAGGCUGAUACAUGUUGGUUUUUAUUUGCUACUUUGUACCUCCAUUCGGGUAAAUUUGUGUAGAUUCGGUAGAACACGAGCGGCAAAAGCUGAUUGACAUUCAUUUCCUCUAUGCUGAAAAACAUGCAUCCCUGUAACAGAUAAACUCACAUUCUUUCUAUAAGUUUGUGAUCUUUCAUGCCUUUUGCAGAUGGAAUAAAUAAAUAAAAAGAAUUGAAUUCACAGCCUCUCUAGGUAGCAGAAUUUGCUGCAAGCUGUUGGCCAUCGUGGCCCAAAGCACCAGGUGAAACAAGAAGCUUGGUGGUUGGUCAUGGGGAAUGUUGCAGGCUCGUAGCUAUAUGGUCUGAAGAGAAUUAGUUUUGCAGAUUGUGUGCUUAACACUCGCAUGCAAUUGCCAUAUACGUGCAAUGCCCAGGAAAUAAUGCCUCCCGCAUGUGAAUGAAGUUUGAUAAGCGAACCUUAACAUGACUAUAUUGUUAUGCUCUUGGGUGACUUUAUGUUGUGCCCGAGAUUUGUCUAAACUUUUACUUAAACAACAAUGAUAAUUGAGUAGCGAACUAAAUGUCAGUCUUCAGUAUGCUCGAGCCAACACCAAAUUGCCAAUAUAUUAUUUCCAGAUUUUUAUUGUUUCUUGCCUAUGUUGUUGGGCUAGCUGUUCAAUAUGGCUGUUGUUAUAAUACUUUAGAGUCUGUCAUUGAGCUUCUCAAAACACUAGCUGAUGAGGGAAGCAGGGGUAGAUGGAUGCUAGGAUGGAGGCAACAGAGAAUUGUUCUGGAAGGUAGUUUCAGAUUAUCCCAAUUGUUUUAACCCAUCUCUAAUGUUACUUUUGCGGAGCUUUAAUAUGAUGAGCUGUCAUUUUAAUUUUAUCAUAUAGUCUCAACUUGUAACCAGAAUACUAUUAUUAGUUCGUACUUCAUAGGCAUGGAUGGUUGCGGCCUUUGGAGUCUAUACCUGAACCUGUAACAAUUGAAAGAAUGUUUCUUGGGUUAUCUACGAAGUAUACCUUUAGCCGAAAGGUUACAACAUGAAUGCUCAUGCUGGCAGAAUCACUAUUGCAGGUGUAAAGGCGACAAGCAGAGGCCACCCGGAGCGCUGCCAGGGCGCCUGCUAUCUUGUUUCUAGAGAAUGAGAUGUACAUCAAUUUGAUAGACUAGAAUCACAAAACAUGGCAUACUGAACUGCGUGUCUCAGGGGGCAGUACUUGGAGAGCAGCGGGUUGUUGUGUGCGAAGGAUAUGCAGAGGUGAUGACGAUGAUGGCUCAAAGCACGCCACCAUGACCAGAUCGUUUCUCCACAACAGCAAGGCAGAUAAUGCUUUAGCCCAGUUGGCUCUGUUUUUAAUUUUCUUGGUAUGGUUGGCUCUGGUUUUAAGCUCUCCAAAGACAGAGAAGUCCAUCAUUCGGAAGGAGAAGCAGUGAACUACUGAAGCAACCUGGAGUACAAUGGCGAGGCGGAUGACGGUAACGACGAGGCCAUCUACAAGAUCAAGGUUGUGGCCAAAAAGUAGCGGCUCAAGAGUUUCGAUUGGGAGGCGUGGAGGGAAAGCUGCCGGUCGCCUGCCGUGUGCUGGUGCUCUCCAGUCGACCACGUCCAUGAGUUGCUGCCGCCGGAGAUGUUCCUGGCCUGAUGUUGGCCACCUGCACAACCUGCUGCUUCCCCGGCAGUAGAGAAAGAACACAUGCAUGUAUGAAAAUUUGUUUCACUGGAUAAAAAAAUCCUACAUGUAUAAUAUGAUCCAGUCGUUGCCAAAGUAGUCAUGGACACAGGAAGCCCUUGCAGUUGUUGACCACCACGGCGAGCAGCAUCACUGCGCCGUUCACAAACAAGAAUGGCAUGCUCCCGGAUGUCCGUGCUCUUCUUCCAUGUGACAUGUCUUCCGCUGCUGGAUGUACAAGCUAUAGACGAAUUGAUUCAUGCCACGCUUCAAGACUCCUUGUGUAUGUCAAUUUUGGGUUAAGGGUACAUUGAACUCAUAUAUAGACGUUUUGGAGGCUAUUUUUCUUGUCCAUCCUCACUGCUCAUUUAUGUUGGAUGCAAAUGAAGGCUCCAUACAAAAUCAAGCAAUCCAAGUUUUUGACUAACUAAAUGGUUUGUAAUUGUGCAAA